GCACCCUUGGUGUAGUGUUAACACACAUCCUGUUUGUUGAACAGUGUGCAAAGAACAUUACGGACGAGUUCGGGGUUCAGCUCCCCGAGGGUGCA